AGUGAACGCUGGCGGCAGGCCUAACACAUGCAAGUCGAACGGCAGCACAGUAAGAGCUUGCUCUUACGGGUGGCGAGUGGCGGACGGGUGAGGAAUACAUCGGAAUCUACUUUUUCGUGGGGGAUAACGUAGGGAAACUUACUCUAAUAUCGCAUACGAUCUACGGGUGAAAGCAUGGGAUCUUCGGACCUUGCGCGAAUGAAUGAGCCGAUGUGGGAUUAGCUAGUUGGGGGGGUAAAGGCCCACCAAGGCGACGAUCCGUAGCUGGUCAGAGAGAAUGGUCGGCGGCACUGGAGCGGGAACACGGUCCAGGCUCCUACGGGAGGCAGCAGUGGGGAAUGUUAGACAGUGGGCGCGAGCCUGGUCCAGCCAUACCGCGUGGGUGAAGAAGGCGUUCGGGUUGUGAAGCCCUUUUGUUGGGAGAGAAAAGCAGCAGGUUAAUACGCCGCUGUUCUGACGGUACCCAAAGAAUAAGCACCGGCUAACUACGUG
rnacentral:rRNA from 1 species